rnacentral:rRNA from 1 species
ACGCUAGCUACAGGCUUAACACAUGCAAGUCGAGGGGAAACGGCAUUGAGUGCUUGCACUCUUUGGACGUCGACCGGCGCACGGGUGAGUAACGCGUAUCCAACCUUCCCAUUACUGUGGGAUAACCUGCCGAAAGGCAGACUAAUACCGCAUAGUCUUCGAUGACGGCAUCAGAUUUGAAGUAAAGAUUUAUCGGUAAUGGAUGGGGAUGCGUCUGAUUAGCUUGUUGGCGGGGUAACGGCCCACCAAGGCGACGAUCAGUAGGGGUUCUGAGAGGAAGGUCCCCCACAUUGGAACUGAGACACGGUCCAAACUCCUACGGGAGGCAGCAGUGAGGAAUAUUGGUCAAUGGACGGAAGUCUGAACCAGCCAAGUAGCGUGCAGGAUGACGGCCCUAUGGGUUGUAAACUGCUUUUGUAUGGGGAUAAAGUUAGGGACGUGUCCCUAUUUGCAGGUACCAUACGAAUAAGGACCGGCUAAUUCCGUGCCAGCAGCCGCGGUAAUACGGAAGGUCCAGGCGUUAUCCAGAUUUAUUGGGUUUAAAGGGAGCGUAGGCUGGAGAUUAAGUGUGUUGUGAAAUGUAGACGCUCAACGUCUGAAUUGCAGCGCAUACUGGUUUCCUUGAGUACGCACAACGUUGGCGGAAUUCGUCGUGUAGCGGUGAAAUGCUUAGAUAUGACGAAGAACUCCGAUUGCGAAGGCAGCUGACGGGAGCGCAACUGACGCUUAAGCUCGAAGGUGCGGGUAUCAAACAGGAUUAGAUACCCUGGUAGUCCGCACAGUAAACGAUGGAUGCCCGCUGUUGGUACCUGGUAUCAGCGGCUAAGCGAAAGCAUUAAGCAUCCCACCUGGGGAGUACGCCGGCAACGGUGAAACUCAAAGGAAUUGACGGGGGCCCGCACAAGCGGAG